GUUGUGGGUAACGCGGACGUGGAAGAACCUCGUCUGCGGAGGAAAAGGUAGAUGUUAAAUGGUAACUACGCGCGAGGUUCUGAGGAGCCCUGGGAACAGGAAGGAGAAAAGAAUACCAAAAGUGACAACAGUUUGCCAAUCGCAGUCUUUAAUCUGAUAAAGCGGUUAUCUCGUCUUGAGUCCCAGGUGCCGAGUCAAUCCCCAUACACAGCCGCCGCCAUUGCCUCGAGUCCUUGUGUCUGACUGUCUGUUCCUGCUGCUGUAUGACACAGCACCUCGAGGCAAGGAAAUAAGAAAACUGCCUCUGAUCCAAGCAGAGAAGAACUCCUGUAGCCUGUAAUACCAGCUGUGGGUACUACUCUCAGUGUUGGAGAUCAUCAAAAUACAAUUGGACCAGACCCUUUGGAAAUAAUUCUGUGUCUCAAAUGCCCUGUGGAGCACACACUUAAUCAGUUGAUGGCUAUGGAAUUUUCCAACAUCAGCUAAAGAGAAGGCAAUGAAUGACACUUCCUGUUGCCUCAUAUCCUCACCAGUAUUUGGCACUGAUAGAGUGGUGACUUCCAAGCUUCAUGCAGAACCGGACAACAGAAAUUGAGAGGGAAAUUUCUAUGACAGAAGAGAGAAAGAAGAAAAUUGCUGGAAUAAUGACCUUGAAUAGAGGAAAUGGGAUAUCAUCUGGUAAGCAAAUAGAGAAGCUGGCUUUAGAUAAGAGCCUGGACAAUUCAUUCAUAGAAUAGCAGAAAAGGCAGAAUUUAUGUCCAUAGAUGCA
rnacentral:lncRNA from 1 species